AUGACAAAAAGAGAAAGAGAUCUAGGGUUAGGAAUUGUUACCUUUGGCCUUCGCAAACUCACGUUCCCUCUUCGUACCUUUCUCUCCCGUGAACAAAGCGCGGCGGCCGGCAGCUCCUUGCUCUCAAACGCGACGGCGGCGAUACUACCUUUCACCGGCGACUACCUGGAACGUCGCGCUCGUUACUUCUUCUCGUUCUUGCCUCGGUUCUCACUCUCAGACUUUCUCUUCGUCAAUGGCGCGGCGGUGGUUUGUCUAGCCGCCAGUUGGAAUCGUUUCGACGGAGGUUCAACCAUCGGAUGCUCACCCAAAUCAAAGGAGGCGCUUGUUUGUUGAAGAUGAUUCUGAGAUGAAGAAUGGUGGUCCUGCCGAUUGAAGUGUGAAGGACGAUGAAUCGUUGCUGACAAAUGGUUGAGAAGACGAUGAAGCUGAUGAAGCUUCAGGUAAAUCCGAAUGAACAUGAAGCGAUUUUUGUUGAAGCUCGUUCUUGACAAUGAAGGAUGGAGAAGAUGUUGAAGUGGUGAAGGUAGGAGUUUGAAUCGAUGGGGAUGGUGAAUUGUGAGGGAAGAAGCUGAGGAUGAGAAUUUGUGUGGAGAAUGGCGUUUGAAGGUGUGGCAGAGUGAGGAUGAAGCGUGUGUUUGAACUUUUAACUGUACACUUCUUCUUUCAACGUUUGCAAGCGAAACGAUGAUGAAGCUUGUGCUUUUUCUUCCGUCUUUCUGCAGGCCUUUCUCAUUGGUAAUUGUUUGAAUUCUGUGGCUGUCUCUAUUCUUGUUUUGAAUCGGCAAAGUAAGCUCGAUAUUUCUCAUGUUGCAGAGUUAUAAUUCUGGUUUUCUUUUAGGAAUCGCUGCUGACUGUGUGCAUUUGGGAGCUGCCGCUGCAUAGUUCUUUGACAUUAUUUUUUUUGCUGCCAAGAGGUUUCCGAAUAACCGAACCAAAGCGUUUGUCUCUAAGCGUAUUUUCAGGAGGUGAAACCUCAGAAGAUUCCUAAUAUGAGAGAUGAGCAGCAGGAAUUCUCAAAUCGAACCGUAUGUUUUCUUUUUCUGAGUUUCACAGCAUUUGGUAUGGCAUAGCAAGGUAUAAUUUGGAGUAGCUUGGGAUUUAUUCACUGUUUUCUCUCAGCAUUCUAUUCCGAAUUUUCUGGAGCCAAACGAAUCGAAGACUGACUUGCCAUAGGAUAUGCACAGGGUUAUUUUGAAUGAGUUUUUUUUCUUGAACUCUUGUUUAUUUGUAGGUGACUGGGCUGUAUAUGGACAUGUGUGGCAGGGUCUUAGUUUUGAAAUGGUAAGUUUGUAAAGAGUUAGUUGUAAUCUGCAUAGUAAAAACUUCAGAACUGUUAUAGUCAAUGUUAAUUGAAUGUAUGUCGGUCGUGAAUUAGAAGGUAUGUGGUUGAUGGUGAGGUUUUUUUUUUAUAUAUGAACUGUGUAAUUUUGGAAGGAUUUUGAACCGACAGUGUGCACACAUUGGAUGGAAUUAUUAUACUCAAGUGAUUACUGCAUGAUGAUCCUUUUGAAUGAAUGAGUCUGAUCCAGGAUUGUGUUGCCUCACAUGUUGCCUUGAUUUGCACUUAAACUCUGAUAUGUUGAAUUGUUUUCCUUUGUAUCUUAUGCAUGAUUGUGACUUGAUAGGGUGAGGAUCCUGAACUGAGCUGGUUUGGUGUAAUAUGGAUGGUAUUGAACUGUACUGUUGCAAUGUUUGUCUUUCUGCUUUUUGUAAUGAGAUUUUUGGUAUUGACUGUUCGAAUUUUGGAUGGUGCUUGAGUUAUGAAUGUGGCUGUGUUGUAUGUGUAGCAAGUUUGGAAUUGUGAGGUUGGUUUCUCCUUUUUUUUUUUGAAUUGUUAUGCUGACUCUGGUUUUGUUAUGUGUGUGUGGCUGGACUGGCUUUCUCUCAUGCAGGUUCUGUAUGGUGAUUUUGGACAAAAGCAUUAUCAUGGCAGCAACUCUUGAAAGCAUGACGAAGUCGGGUGUAUAAGAAAAAGUCUAGCAGCAAUCUUUCCGUACAGUGCAGUAGCUAGUAUAGUGUGAAUGAGAUUGGAUUUUGUAAUGGAUGAUGAGCUUGAACAUGUACUGUGAGUAGGCUAGUCUGCAAUUUGUGCUAGAUUGUGAGUUUAUAUAUGAAAGAUGGAUGGAUUGAUGAUUGAGGUGAUGAAAAGGUUGAUUUUUCUUGUAUAAUUUUGUAAAGAAUUUCUUACACAAUAUGUGACAUGGAUUGAACUUUUGUAAUGGACUUUGCAAUUGUAAUGAGGUGUAACAACUUGGCUUGAAAUAUCAUUAUAAGGACUUGGAUCCUUUUCUUGUAAUGCGACAUGGAGUACAAUACUAAUUUCUUUCAACUAAUGAGACAAUUCCCUCUAAUUUGGGCAUUUGAAAUUUAAAUUCUCUCUUGAAUGGAAACCUUGAAUCAACAUGCCCCCAAUCAAUGACCCAGCCGGAAAAGUGUAAUAAUAGCCAACCAUGAGAG